GGCUCUCGCUUUGUCUCGUCUUCCCAACUCUGUAGAAAGUUCUUUGGUUGCGCCCGACCGGGCGCGCUCCCGCUUCCCUUGGGACCCAGCGGGCCCAGCCGCCGCGGUGCAAGGAGAGCGGGAGCGGGGGUCGGUCGAUGCUCGGCCCCUGAGACUGCCCCACGCCGGUGAUGCUGGGCGGGGAAAACCCCAAGCGGGUCACGUGAGGGACCCUCAGGACCUGAGCUCACCUGGAGAGGCCCACACUUGGCUGUUAAGCUCAUGGGGCAGGACCCUUGCUCUGGUUGGGCUGGCUCAGUCUGGGGCGCCUCGGGGCUAUGGUAACAAAGAACAAGCAUGAGGACCAGUCAUGGUGGCUAAUUAGGUGGCCUAUGGCCUUAUAAUAAUGAGCACAUUCUAACCAAGGGACGGAGGACCUGCCAAUUAUUUGGAAGCAAUCAGCGACUUAACAAGCCAGCAGUUUAUUCCAUUGCUGCUCCAAACCUGAUACAAGAAGUCCACAAUUGUUGUCAUGCGUGGACUGAAGGAGGACACAAUUCUUACUCGGGCCAUGCGGCAGUAAAAAGGAACUGGACAGGCAUUGACCUACACAGCCUCCUGUACCCUCCAUUGGGAGUAUGAGGGAAGAUACCAUGCACAUAUGGGUCAACAGGCAUUGCUUUGAAGAAUCUUCAUACUUGGGCACAUGGCGCACCUGUGUACCCAUAUGUGGAAUACACAUAAGGAUCAUCACUCAGAGAAGAACUGUUUGAUCUGAUAGCCCAAGAGCAAUUGUUAUGGGCAGUUACAGAUGAGGUGAAGGCAGCCAUUUGUGACCAAAAAAAACCUUCCACAGUUUUGGAGGCUGCAGAAAUUGCUGAUAUGUUGAAUCAAGGGCUCAUGGGGGGCACAAAUCCCCAGGGAAGGGAAAUCUCCUUGAUCCCCAUGUUAAGAGGUGGUGGUGUCUGGAAAUAAACCUAACCCCAACUAUGAUAAAAAAAAUCCCUUAGGGAGCCCAGAUUUUAAAACCCCUACCCUAAGAGAAGGCAGGUAGUCUGCCAGCACUGUGGGGCUCCCAGUCAUGGCCCCACUCCCAGCCCCAAGGAGGGGGGGUUGGACAGAGGUAAGAUGUUUCAGGAAUACUCCAAGACUCCAGUGGGUACUUGAACAAAGGAAGCACUAAGUUACUGAAGGGGCACACCUUCCCAAACUUCAGAGUUUCAUGCAAUGUCACUGUAUCCAGCAGUAGUUCUUAUUGGAAGUAAAGAACAAAUGGCUCAUUCAAUAGACAUGCUAGACAGCAACAGAUGCUAACCAACAUAAUGAAGGGCACUGAAGGGAGCUCCAGAAGAAGCUGCCCCUAAAUUUAUUCAUAGAUGGAGAUAGGCCUGGGCAACACCAGAUAAAUCCUUCAACACAAAAUAAGGGAGAGCCACAAUAUUAGUACCAAAUUGUCUCCAUGUUUCAUGCUCUUGUUUAAACCUAUAAUUCUUAAAUGUGCUUUAAGAAGAAUCAAAAUAUGUUAGGCAAAAUUAAGGUGCACACUGCGUAAGAUCUGACUCCAGUGGGCCUCCUGCCGAGAGCAUAUCAACAUUCCUGAAGUCCCCACCAACUUAGAUCAGUUGGCCAGACUUCAAGUCUGUCCAUUUUCCAUGCCA